ensembl:rRNA 5S_rRNA 5S ribosomal RNA
GUCUAUGGCCAUACCACCCUGAACAUGCCCAAUCUCCUCUGAUCUCAGAAGCUAAGCAGGGUCGAUCCUGGUUAGUACUUGGAUGGGAGACAUGAGUUCAAGAUGAAAGAAGACU